UUGGAUAAGCUUCCCAAAAGGAACUGUCUCCCUGCUUGGGUUACUGGCAGCCCAUGGGAUGAAGUGGACCUUCAUUUUUUAGUGAAGGAGCAACUCUGCCAAAAGAGUAACUACAGAGAAGUGCAGAGCUGGUUAUUCACAGGCUGGCUCCUCGUGGUGGCAAAGGGGGAGUUGAAUUUUUAAGCAACUUCACAAUUUCUUAGAACUGAAGGUGGAGAGGUCGAGAAAUUCCCUGAUGUUUCAUAAACUCUGGCACAGUUUAUGCCAAAAUUGGAGCCCUCCACAGCUGUUUUGUUGCAUCAAAGUCAGAGGUUAAAGGAGUGCAAAAAUUCCUUAUGGCUGGAUCAUCAGAGCCAUGAGAUAAUGAGAACAAAGUGAACAUUAGAUGUUCUUCACAGACUACAAAUUCCAUAUUGUGUCAUGAAGGGAAUGUUUAGAAUAUUAAAGUUCAAAAUUAAUUAUGACACAUCCCAUUCAUUACAAUA